rnacentral:lncRNA from 1 species
CCCACCUCAUGGGGCCCAGGAGAACUGGCCUGGAACCCCCGGAGGACUUUGGGGUAGUGACCUUUUGAGGAGACUACAAUUGGUAUGGAACAGGGGUCGGCAGUCCAGUCUCUUGGGGCAGUCAUUCACAAUGGGGCCCGGCCAUGUCCAAGAGUCUCCUACAGUGUCCCCGAAUCACCACUGGGGGGAGCAGGAAGCCCUAACCUUGGGCUCUUGGAUGGUAGUAGAAAGGCUGUUGGCUGGAUGGAGCAGAGCCUCACAGACAAGUCUAGGAAGGGGUCCCAUGGAUAGGGACCUCCAGGGAGAUAAAGUUGGCAUGGGGCAUGGAUUUUGGUGCUGGAAAAGCCACAAAAGGCAGUGGUAUAGGUCCUGACUCCAAGUUGUCUCCCUCCCUUGCCCACCCUGGGACCUGCUCUGAGGUGACAGGGUGAAUCCUCCUACUUGGCCCUUGGCUUCCUCUGUUUUUAGAGUCUCUUCAGAAGCUGACGCUGGCUGUGUGUUUGCUAAAUAAAAUUGCUGUCCCUGGCCGGCGA